rnacentral:rRNA from 1 species
UCGAGAAUUUUUCACAAUGGGCGAAAGCCUGAUGGAGCGACGCCGCGUGGGGGAUGAAUGGCUUCGGUCCGUAAACCCCUGUCAUUUGCGAGCAAACCUUUGGACCUAACACGUUCAAAGCUGAUAGUAGCGAAAGAGGAAGGGACGGCUAACUCUGUGCCAGCAGCCGCGGUAAUACAGAGGUCCCAAGCGUUGUUCGGAUUCACUGGGCGUAAAGGGUGCGUAGGUGGCGGAGGAAGUUCGAUGUGAAAUCCCCGGGCUCAACCCGGGAACUGCAUUGAAAACUCUUUCGCUUGAGGGUCGGAGGGGAGACUGGAAUUCUUGGUGUAGCAGUGAAAUGCGUAGAUAUCAAGAGGAACACCAGUGGCGAAGGCGAGUCUCUGGACGAUACCUGACACUGAGGCACGAAAGCUAGGGGAGCAAACAGG